CAAAAAGAUAACAUCGAUGUCUGUGCUUUGCCUUCAAGUAUACACAAAACUUCGCUAACAUUGUUUGAUGAUAAUCCAUAAGAGAAUUGUGAGAUUCACCUGGAAACACUGGUUGAAAAUACAAUUACAGAGGAAGAUGUUGGCAAUGAU